GAGCAGGUUGCCAUAGUUUCAAAGGGAGGUCCAAGAACUAGACUGAGAUCCCAAAUUGGAGUGGGGUCUUUCACUUGAGGGAAAAAUUACCCCAAACCUUUGAUGAGCCUUGGAGAUUUUGGGUGAGCAACACUGAGAAACUUUCCAGGGGGAAUGAAAGGCUAUUAUGGCAGUCAAGCGAACACUGACCCAGCUGCUUGAUAAUGUUUUCUUUAGUUCCAGUAGGUAAUCCAGGAUAACAGAGAGUGAGGAAGAUUCAGGUGCAAGUUAUUUGAAUUCACACCAAUGGCUAAAUCUUUUCCACUUUUGAAGUGACCAUUGGGAUCGGUUGGAGAAAAGGAAUGCCUGCACCGGUGUUGUGAUGAUCUUCCCACCAGUCUUGGGAAUCUUUCACCUGGCAGGGUACUGAAGCCUGUUUGUCUAAACUGUGUCUGUUUGGUCAUGUGAAGACCUUUAACCAUUUUUGUUGCUCUUCUCUGGACUUUCUCCAAUUUGUUCACAUCUUUCCUGUAAUGUGGCACC